rnacentral:rRNA from 1 species
GGUUGCGAUCAUACCAGCACUAAUGCACCGGAUCCCAUCAGAACUCCGUAGUUAAGCGUGCUUGGGCGGGAGUAGUACUAGGAUGGGUGAUCCCCUGGGAAGUCCUCGUGUUGCAACCC